AUUCUAACGUGACGCUUUUGUGGUCCUCGUCCUGUUUGGUGUCUGACAGAGCAUGACAGAGGGUGCGCUGCAACCUGCAUUCACGCAACAAGCGCAUCAAGUGAGCGCGCUUUCAGCUCAGCUGGUCAGGUGCUGGAGGCGCGUCGAAAAUAGAUUAAAUCCUGGAACGGUGGAUUCCAUUCUUUUUUUACACAGUGCAGCCAAACAGCUAACCUAAAUCAAACAGGAUCGUACAAAUGCAUUUUUGUUAAGUUCGUGGAUGCAUGUUAUAAUGAUAAUUUUCAACUUUCUUUUAUUAGACAGAUUUCUGGUUCAGUUCAUAAAAAUGUUAAGUUUAGGCAACAGACAGAUAUCAAGGGUUUAAACCGAUUGAACACGUCUGUGUCAAUGUGUUUGUAUUUGUGCUCGUGCGCCAGCUCACAGAGUGAUUUCAUGUUAGGCUACAUGAUGUAGCCUACUUCUGUUUUACCUUUAAAUGCAAUAAAGAAUUAAGGAUC